UAGAGUUUGAUCCUGGCUCAAGAUGACCUCUUGCUACAGGCUUAACACAUGCAAGUCGAGGGGAAACGACAUCGAAAGCUUGCUUUUGAUGGGCGUCGACCGGCGCACGGGUGAGUAACGCGUAUCCAACCUGCCCACCACUUGGGGAUAACCUUGCGAAAGUAAGACUAAUACCCAAUGAUAUCUCUAGAAGACAUCUGAAAGAGAUUAAAGAUUUAUCGGUGAUGGAUGGGGAUGCGUCUGAUUAGCUUGUUGGCGGGGUAACGGCCCACCAAGGCAACGAUCAGUAGGGGUUCUGAGAGGAAGGUCCCCCACAUUGGAACUGAGACACGGUCCAAACUCCUACGGGAGGCAGCAGUGAGGAAUAUUGGUCAAUGGACGAGAGUCUGAACCAGCCAAGUAGCGUGCAGGAAGACGGCCCUAUGGGUUGUAAACUGCUUUUAUAAAGAAAUAAAGUGAGUCUCGAGAGACUUUUUGCAUGUACCUUAUGAAUAAGGACCGGGUAAUUCCGUGCCAGCAGCCGCGGUAAUACGGAAGGUCCGGGCGUUAUCCGGAUUUAUUGGGUUUAAAGGGAGCGUAGGCCGGAGAUUAAGCGUGUUGUGAAAUGUAGAUGCUCAACAUCUGAACUGCAGCGCGAACUGGUUUCCUUGAGUACGCACAAAGUGGGCGGAAUUCGUGGUGUAGCGGUGAAAUGCUUAGAUAUCACGAAGAACUCCGAUUGCGAAGGCAGCUCACUGGAGCGCAACUGACGCUGAAGCUCGAAAGUGCGGGUAUCGAACAGGAUUAGAUACCCUGGUAGUCCGCA
rnacentral:rRNA from 1 species